CACUCCGCCUGGGGAGUACGGCCGCAAGGCUGAAACUCAAAAGAAUUGACGGGGGCCCGCACAAGCGGUGGAGCAUGUGGUUUAAUUCGAAGCAACGCGAAGAACCUUACCAGGUCUUGACAUCCUCUGCUACCUCUAGAGAUAGAGGGUUCCCUUCGGGGACAGAGUGACAGGUGGUGCAUGGUUGUCGUCAGCUCGUGUCGUGAGAUGUUGGGUUAAGUCCCGCAACGAGCGCAACCCUUGAUCUUAGUUGCCAGCAUUUAGUUGGGCACUCUACGGUGACUGCCGGUGACAAACCGGAGGAAGGUGGGGAUGACGUCAAAUCAUCAUGCCCCUUAUGACCUGGGCUACACACGUGCUACAAUGGAUGGUACAAAGGGCAGCGAAGCCGCGAGGUGAAGCAAAUCCCAUAAAACC
rnacentral:rRNA from 1 species